UACGUAGGGGGCAAGCGUUGUCCGGAUUCAUUGGGCGUAAAGCGCGUGUAGGCGGCCAGGUAGGUCGGUUGUGAAAACUGGAGGCUCAACCUUCAGAGGUCGACCGAAACCAUCUGGCUAGAGUCCGGGAGAGGAGAGUGGAAUUCCUGGUGUAGCGGUGAAAUGCGCAGAUAUCAGGAAGAACACCCGUGGCGAAAGCGGCUCUCUGGAAUGGUACUGACGCUGAGACGCGAAAGCGUGGGGAGCGAACAGG
rnacentral:rRNA from 1 species